UUCACUGUGAUAUUUUGUGAUGUUUCGGUGAACAUUUUAUUGAUGGUUUUCUGAUGAGAAAUGAGUAUUCUUGCAUUGAUACUUGAUGAACUGAUGAUGAUGCUUCCUUUUUGGAAGUAAAGCUAAACCGAUUGUUUAGCUGGCCGGGAUCCCAACUUGAUGAAUUGAUGAACUUAUCGUGCUUGAAUACUCAUACUCAUACUCAUCUUGAUAUGUGAAACUGUUUUGAUGACUCUGAUGAAAUAUUGAUUUGGUUCACCAAGUUUUGUGAAUAAAACUCAGUUGAA
rnacentral:lncRNA from 1 species